rnacentral:lncRNA from 1 species
CUUCUCGGGGUAACGCCGCCCCUCUGCCCGAGCUCCGGUGCGCUCCAGGUGCGGGCUGCGGCUCGAAGGUGCGCCAAAGGCACGUUAUGGUUGCCUAAAGUUAAUUAAGAAGAAACCAGUUCUUCAGUUUCAAACCAUUUCUUGGAAGAAAUGUUGCAGAACAAGAAGGAAGACAUUGUUCUGGAAGGGACCCACAUGCUGUCAUUCAUGGCCCAAGGUGUUUUUUACCCUUCAUUUACAGCAUGUCAUAUACAACUACAGAAGCCUCAGUCUGUAUUUUAGGGGUGAAGGAGCCGUGCAUCUAAAAGACACAGCUUGAUGGAGAAGAAGAGAAAGUAAGAGAGCAGGAGACAGUGACCUUCAAGGAGUUUACAUGAAGCAGAUGUUGUGAUGCAAUGCAGUGGAUGAGCUCUCGCAGAAAACUCAAGAAAUCCAAAGCCAGAUUUCUUACAGAUAUUUAUAAACAAGCCACAACAAGACUCAUAAGGUAUCCAAAUUAAACCUAUGUAUCCCAAUAUUAAGAAAUAAUAACUAUUUGACUGUUGGAAUGAUGACUUUGAAGAUUGUACAGAAAAGUCAUAUUCAAAAUAUAAUUAAAUGCUCUGAACUGAACUGAAGGUGAUAAAGGCUGUAAAUUACAUAAUUAUCUGACAUAGUAGAUUAUCAAUUUUGAUGAUACCUU